UACGGAGGGUGCAAGCGUUAUCCGGAUUUAUUGGGCGUAAAGAGCGUGUAGGCGGUUCGGUAAGUCUGUCGUGAAAUCCUGAGGCUCAACCUCGGACGUGCGAUGGAUACUGCCGGGCUAGAGGAUGGUAGAGGCGAGUGGAAUUCCCGGUGUAGCGGUGAAAUGCGCAGAUAUCGGGAGGAACACCAGUAGCGAAGGCGGCUCGCUGGGCCAUUCCUGACGCUGAGACGCGAAAGCUAGGGGAGCGAACAGG
rnacentral:rRNA from 1 species